ACUCAAAUGAAUUGACGGGGACCCGCACAAGCAGUGGAGUAUGUGGUUUAAUUCGAAGCAACGCGAAGAACCUUACCAGGUCUUGACAUCCCCCUGAACACAUGAGAGAUCGUGUGGGCCUUCGGGACAGGGGAGACAGGUGGUGCAUGGUUGUCGUCAGCUCGUGUCGUGAGAUGUUGGGUUAAGUCCCGCAACGAGCGCAACCCUUAGGUCUAGUUGCCAGCAGGUAAAGCUGGGCACUCUAGAGCGACUGCCGGUGACAAACCGGAGGAAGGUGGGGAUGACGUCAAAUCAUCAUGCCCCUUAUGACCUGGGCUACACACGUACUACAAUGGCCGGUACAACGGGCAGCGAAGGGGCGACCCGGAGCGAAUCCAAUCAAAGCCGGUCUCAGUUCGGAUUGCAGGCUGCAACUCGCCUGCAUGAAGUCGGAAUUGCUAGUAAUCGCGGAUCAGCAUGCCGCGGUGAAUACGUUCCCGGGUCUUGCACACACCGCCCGU
rnacentral:rRNA from 1 species